rnacentral:rRNA from 1 species
UACGUAGGUCCCAAGCGUUAUCCGGAAUUACUGGGCGUAAAGAGUUGCGUAGGCGGCUUGUCAAGUUGGUAGUGAAAUCGUGCGGCUCAACCGCAUACACAUUAUCAAAACUGGCAGGCUAGAGAGUGAGAGAGGUUAUUGGAAUUCUUAGUGUAGGAGUGAAAUCCGUAGAUAUUAAGAGGAACACCGAUGGCGUAGGCAGAUAACUGGCUCAUUUCUGACGCUAAGGCACGAAAGCGUGGGGAGCGAACGGG